ACGCUGGCGGCACGCCUAACACAUGCAAGUCGAACGAAGUAGCAAUACUUAGUGGCAGACGGGUGAGUAACAUGUAGGUAUCUACCCUUUGGCCUGGAAUAACACGAGGAAACUUGUGCUAAUACCGGAUAAGUCUUUACGGAGAAAGCUUUAUGCACCAUUGGAUGAGCCCGCACUUGAUUAGUUUGUUGGUGGGGUAAUGGCCUACCAAGACUGUGAUCAAUAGCUGAUUUGAGAGGAUGAUCAGCCACAUUGGGACUGAGACACGGCCCAAACUCCUACGGGAGGCAGCAGUGGGGAAUCUUGCACAAUGGAGGAAACUCUGAUGCAGCGAUGCCGCGUGAGUGAAGAAGGCCCUUGGGUUGUAAAGCUCUUUCGUCGGGGAAGAAAAUGACUGUACCCGAAUAAGAAGGUCCGGCUAACUUCGUGCCAGCAGCCGCGGUAAUACGAAGGGACCUAGCGUAGUUCGGAAUUACUGGGCUUAAAGAGUUCGUAGGUGGUUAAAAAAGUUAGUGGUGAAAUCCCAGAGCUUAACUCUGGAACUGCCAUUAAAACUUUUCAGCUAGAGUAUGAUAGAGGAAAGCAGAAUUUCUAGUGUAGAGGUGAAAUUCGUAGAUAUUAGAAAGAAUACCAAUUGCGAAGGCAGCUUUCUGGAUCAUUACUGACACUGAGGAACGAAAGCAUGGGUAGCGAAGAGGAUUAGAUACCCUCGUAGUCCAUGCCGUAAACGAUGUGUGUUAGACGUUGGAAAUUUAUUUUCAGUGUCGCAGCGAAAGCGAUAAACACACCGCCUGGGGAGUACGACCGCAAGGUUAAAACUCAAAUGAAUUGACGGGGACCCGCACAAGUAGUGGAGCAUGUGGUUUAAUUCGAAGAUACGCGCAGAACCUUACCAACACUUGACAUGUUCGUCGCGACUCUAAGAGAUUAGAGUUUUCGGUUCGGCCGGACGAAACACAGGUGCUGCAUGGCUGUCGUCAGCUCGUGUCGUGAGAUGUUGGGUUAAGUCCCGCAACGAGCGCAACCCUCACUUUUAGUUGCCAUCAUUAAGUUGGGCACUCUGAAAGAACUGCCAGUGAUAAGCUGGAGGAAGGUGGGGAUGACGUCAAGUCCUCAUGGCCCUUACGUGUUGGGCUACACACGUGCUACAAUGGUAUCUACAACAGGAAGCAAGACUGCGAGGUCAAGCAAAUCCUUAAAAGAUACCUCAGUUCGGAUUGCACUCUGCAACUCGAGUGCAUGAAGCUGGAAUUACUAGUAAUCGUGGAUCAGCGUGCCACGGUGAAUGCGUUCCCGGGUCUUGUACACACCGCCCGUCACACCAUGGGAGUUGGUUCUACCUUAAGGCAAGGUUUCAAACCCUUGACCACGGUAUAGUCAGCGACUGGGGUG
rnacentral:rRNA from 1 species